rnacentral:snRNA from 13 species
GUGCUCACUUCGGCAGCACAUAUACUAAAAUUGGAACGAUACAGAGAAGAUUAACAUGGCCUCUGCGCAAGAAUGGCACACAAAUUCGUGAAGCAUUCCAUAUAUAU